rnacentral:lncRNA from 1 species
GUUUCCGUCCCGGAGAAAGCACCAACUAGCCUGGAGCUAGCCCAUGCUAGACCCAUCUCCUGGCUAGGGCUCCUGGGCUACUCCUGGCUAACGUUUCCGUCCCGGAGAAAGCACCAACUAGCCUGGAGCUAGCCCAUGCUAGGCCCAUCUCCUGGCUAGGGCUCCUGGGCUACUCCUGGCUAACGUUUCCGUCCCGGAGAAAGCACCAACUAGCCUGGAGCUAGCCCAUGCUAGUAGACCCAUCUCCUGGCUAGGGCUCCUGGGCUACUCCUGGCUAACGUUUCCGUCCCGGAGAAAGCACCAACUAGCCUGGGGCUAGCCCAUGCUAGACCCAUCUCCUGGCUAGGGCUCCUGGGCUACUCCUGGCUAACGUUUCCAUCCCGGAGAAAGCACCAACUAGCCUGGGGCUAGCCCAUGCUAGACCCAUCUCCUGGCUAGGGCUCCUGGGCUACUCCUGGCUAACGUUUCCGUCCCGGAGAAAGCACCAACUAGCCUGGGGCUAGCCCAUGCUAGACCCAUCUCCCGGCUAGGGCUCCUGGGCUACUCCUGAAGCCCCCUGCUCGGCUACAAUAUCCGGACCCCUUCUACUGGCGGUACGGGGCACGGAACCCCGCUGAUCCUUCACGACUGGAAUACCGACAUAAUCUGCCCUCAGGCCCCCUCAGGCCCAUUCUGCCUUGUCCAUUACUGUCCUGCACACUCUGCCAACCCUGAUGUCCUAGCCGUGUCUGUAUCCUGGCUUAGGAAGUCCACCAAA